rnacentral:rRNA from 1 species
GCUGGCGGCGUUCCUAAUACAUGAGAAUAAAGCGAAUCUUGAGGAGCUUGCUCCUGAUGGUUAGCGUCGGCCGGGUGAGUAACAAAAAGGCAACCUGCCUGUAAGACUGGGAUAACACCGGGAAACCGGUGCUAAUACCGGAUAAUUCUUUUCCUCUCAUGAGGGAAAGCUGAAAGUCGGUUUCGGCUGACACUUGCAGAUGGGCCCGCGGCGCAUUAGCUAGUUGGUGAGGUAACGGCUCACCAAGGCGACGAUGCGUAGCCGACCUGAGGGGGUGAUCGGCCACACUGGGACUGAGACACGGCCCAGACUCCUACGGGAGGCAGCAGUGGG